rfam:Allomyces macrogynus ATCC 38327 genomic scaffold supercont3.47, whole genome shotgun sequence.
GGGGAUAUAACUCAAUUGGUUAGAGUGUUGGCUUUGCAAGUCAAAGGUUGCAGGUUCGAGUCCUGUUAUCUCCA